UGAGGAAUAUUGGUCAAUGGACGCAAGUCUGAACCAGCCAAGUAGCGUGCAGGAUGACGGCCCUAUGGGUUGUAAACUGCUUUUAUAUGGGGAUAAAGUGGGGAACGUGUUCCCUUUUGCAGGUACCAUAUGAAUAAGGACCGGCUAAUUCCGUGCCAGCAGCCGCGGUAAUACGGAAGGUUCGGGCGUUAUCCGGAUUUAUUGGGUUUAAAGGGAGCGUAGGCCGUUUGGUAAGCGUGUUGUGAAAUGUAGGAGCUCAACUUCUAGAUUGCAGCGCGAACUGUCAGACUUGAGUGCGCACAGCGUGGGCGGAAUUUAUGGUGGGGCGGUGAAAUGCUUAGAUAUCAUGACGAACUCCGAUUGCGAAGGCAGCUUACGGGAGCGCAACUGACGCUAAAGCUCGAAAGUGCGGGUAUCGAACAGG
rnacentral:rRNA from 1 species